CCUCAGACUUGAUUGGCUGUUUUUUUAGUAGGGUCCCCUCAGUACUUGGAGUUGCUCUAUAUUGGGUUACAGUGUGGCAAAAUGGCGGCUGUCAUUCAGAAUCCACUCAAAGCGCUGGGCGACCAGUUCUACAAGGAGGCCAUUGAGCACUGUCGCAGCUACAAUGCCCGCCUGUGCGCCGAGCGCAGCGUCCGCCUGCCCUUCCUGGACUCCCAGACCGGCGUGGCGCAGAACAACUGCUACAUCUGGAUGGAGCGCCGCCACCGGGGGCCAGGCAUGGCGGCGGGACAGAUGUACACCUACCCGGCCCGCUGCUGGAGGAAGAAGAGGCGGUUGCACACCCCCGUGGACCCCCAGCUGCGGCUGUGUGAGCUCAGGCUUGAAGGGGAGCUGGCACCCAAGAAAGAGCCCCUGCCCAUGGAAGGCACUACCUUAGAGGCACUGCUGAGAGGCGAGAGCCUGGAGAGGAAGAGCAGCAGCAACAACUCCAAGGAGGAGGAGAGUCUGCUGGAGAUCCAGAGGGUUCUGGAGGCUGAAGAAAACGGGGAUGGUUUCCAUGACGAUGAAGACUUUGAAGUGGAUGCUCCGAAAAGGAAGCAUAGAAACAAAGGCCGGGGGCGAGGCUCAGGACGCAGGAAGGCGGAGGCAGCGGCUGUGGAUGACCAGGACAAGCCAUAUGUCUGUGACAACAGAUACAAACAAAAGCAUAACUCAAAAACGACGGCCUCAGUCUGUGGGAAGCGCUACAAGAACCGUCCGGGCCUGAGCUACCACUACGCCCACACCCACCUGGCGGAAGAGGAGGGUGAGGACGAGAGAGACUCAGAGCCAGCCCAGUCUCCACCUGCUCACUGCUCUGACAACCACAAACCUCAGAAGGGCCCUGAUGGCACAGUUAUUCCCAAUAACUACUGUGACUUCUGCCUGGGUGACUCAGGCAGCAACAGGAAAACAGGCCAGGCGGAGGAGCUGGUGUCCUGCUCUGACUGCGGCCGCUCCGCUGGACGCAUUGGAGGGAGAGACGAGAGGAAGAUGGGCGGGGCCGAGGAAUUGUUUGGUGCCACGUCCGAAAGCGACGCGUCCACGUUUCACGGCUUCGACGACGAUGAAUUCGAUGAGCCCUUGUCGAACGGCAGCGUGGCGUCGCCUCGGUGCAGAUAGAGAACAGAAACAAACUUUAAAAAAUGACAGAAAAAAAGACAGAAACCUCUGACAAAAGUCUGCUGCUUCUUUUUUAAUUGAUUUUUGUUUUUAGUGGAAAGCACAACUGUUCUCUUCAGAAGAGGAAAGCAAUUGUUAUUUUUAUCUUUAGUGGAAAACUUCUGCUUUUUAAUAAGUUAGGAAUAUUAUUAUUUUUAUGUAAACUUUGAAAAGCAAAGAGCAAUGGACAGUGUCUGCCUGAAUUAUGUGCUGACUGUGUGUAAAACAGAAGAAUCUCUUCUUUGGAUUUUUUUUUUCCCUGGAGGGGAAAUGCAGUUAUUUUACAAAAAAAAAAAACUAUGGAACAUUUGGAUUUAACUGUACAGUGUGGUGUAGGACAGACCUGCCAGCAAAGUGGGAUUUGAUUUAAAACAAUGAAUAAAAAGACUAUUGGGAGAAACGCAAUUAAUGUCAAACGAAACCAGCUUGUUUUGUGCGACAGAGAAGUCUGGGCAGAGGAAACGAGGCUUAAUGGAACCAUUUUCAACAGCGGCCCCUGCCUUGGUGAAGAAAAGGGCUCCCGCUGUCUUUACCUCUGGAUUGCAAUAAUGUGAAAGUGAAGGAAUAAGUGACUUCUGGGGGAGAGAGUUUGGCUUGCUGUUACCAUGGAGAGAGGGGGAAACCGCAGUGGGGGUCCUGGUGGAGGGAGAGAGGGAAGGCGUGCCUGGCUGGGGGCAGUUAGCUGAAAGGAACGCUGAGUCAAGCGGAUCCUGAGUGAUCAGCCAACAGGACAGCAGUCAACAGGAAUCAGCCACAGCCUCCACUCCCUGGCCCCCUCGCACCCCCACACCCCCUUCCAUGGACCACAGGAACCCCAGCACUGACCAGCUCUCCCACUGUCUUGCUCUGCCCCUGCAGAUAUGCAGACAGACAGGCAGGCAGACAGACAGAUAGACGCUGUCCCGAGCACGUGCAAUAAAGUCCCAGACACCCUGGAAUUUAGAAGAAGAAUACCCCCUCCCCCUCCCAGGCUGAGCUGGGACUCGAACUUUGAAGAUGACAAAAGCAAUUAUGACAAAAAGAAAGAGAAAUUAUGAAAAUAAAUCUUAACAUGUUUCAGGCACCAUUGCCCACAGCCCAGUUUGAAACACUUUUACUUUUGGUUGUUUCAGUUAUCUGGUCUCAACAUCCUCUGUAAAAAGUUUUAAGUCAAAAUAAGAGGCACUAAAGAGCAUUUUGUAACAUCACUGGCCAUAGUAAGAACAUCAGUUGGCAUCUGCAUUGUUUGCCCACGUCCUUAUUUGCUACACAGAAUAAUAACACAGCCAGUCAGAAGACGUUUUGUCCAGCAUUAUGCAAGAGAAGCAAACCUUUGUCUGACAACUGCUCUAAAAACUCAGUUUAAAGGGGGUAGAAGUGGAAGAUUCCAUGCGAUAUUGUGAUCUCCUCUUGCGAACUGCUUGACUUUUUGCCAUCGCCUCCAGAGAAUCGGCCUGCUCAUAAAUUCUUACCAGAAUAUUUUUUUUUCCAGGAGGAAAGAAGGCGAUGUCAGGGGAGAGAGGGACGGCAUGCUUGUAGAAUUGUGUCAGUGAGCGGAAGCUUCUCAGAAGAGAGGGAAGGAGCUUUGAGAAAUAACUUUGCUUUGAAAAUCUGUGAGGAUUCCCAGUAAUGGCUUAUUUAAGGCAGUUCUGAGAAGUGGAGCCAAUCUCCGGUUCCUUAAGGCAAGUAAUGGACCAGCUCAGAGUUACAAAAAAAAAAAAUCCACUGAGACAGUAUGUCACCCUGUCUCAUCCGAAUUGAAAAUGCCAACUAGAUGGGAAAUGCAAACCGACACUGCACAGUAUAAAUGCCGGCAGUUUGCUUAGGCUGCCCCCUGAUCAGGAAAGGUUACAGCUCAGGACGUGGUUCGUAAAUGUCACUGCCUGACCGUGUGCCCCCAGCAUUGUAUGCUGUCACCCAUUCCUCUGGGCCCACACCAUCUUCUCUGACAUAUCAGAGUCAAAAGGUUUGGCGCUGAGCUCGGCCUUGACUUGGACAAGAAGUCAAGCCUUGACACCCGGACCUGCCCCUGCUCCCCUUUACGAAGUUGUGCAGUUGCAGUGUCACUGAGCUGACUGGCGGAGAGAGGGAACUGGGAACCUGCUGAAAGUGGCUCCUGUCUCCAAACAUAGGGGUUGUAGUUCAUAUUUCUAAUAUAACUGUGAGCGGGUAAAUGUGGACAAUAGCCAAGCCACUGUGAAACAUGGUAAUGCUUAGCCGAAAUAUUUGUUUUUGCUGGUGGGGGGUGGGGAGGGGGGGUACAUAUAAGUCUUCUCGCAAUAGAAGUACCAGAAAUUUGAAGUGUUCUGGAAGAUAGCAUCAAACCCACUUUGUCUUUCACCCUGCAUUCUGGAACUUGAACCUUCUGAAAUGUAUCCAGGCCUCUUUUGAAGAAUCCACAGUUGUUUUCUUGUUGGUGAUGUCUUACAACAUUUGUGGCUGGAUCUGCUGACUUUGUUUAGCACGUUGUUUCACAUUCGUUUAUGUUUUUCCAGUACCUUCCUUUGUUUCUUGACCUCAGUAGAUGCUCAGGCAUUUUGGACUUAUUGAAGUUCUGUAAACUGUGCCGUAUCUAAAUAUGCUCAAAUUUCAAUGUAAUCAGUUGUCCCACAAGGAAAUCUUUUGAGAAGGAAAAGCAAAUGGGUCUUCCAAAACUCUUAACAUGUUUCCCAUUAGGACUGUUUGAUUUCAGUGUAUUGUUUCAAUCUUGUGUUUUCUUGUGUGUUCAAAAGUAAAAUAGGACUUCAUCAGGACUUCCUUUUGUCUCUCGAUAGACUGUCCAGAGGUACAGUUGCAAUGUUAUGUGAAUGAGGAUUUUCUCUCUUUCUCCUUAGCUAUUUUACAUUUACUCCUAGUCCUGACAAUGUUGCAUAGCUUACUCACCUUUGAACCCUCUUUAAAAUAAGCCAUUAUUAUGGGAAAGAGAAGGAUGUAUGCCAUCCACUUGAAAGCGGCAGGCAGUUUGUUAGAUUUAAAAAUAUGAUGGAUAAUGUUCUUAAUGAAUUAAAGUCAGCGAAUUGUAAACCCUGAGAGUGAAUGCAAAAGAAAAUAAUUUCAAUACCAAGGAGUAUUCCUCUCAGGAAAUGCAUAUAUUGCAAUCUGAAUGAUUAAAUACGACAGCUUGUAAACAAAGCCACCAUUGGGACAAACUGCAAGACAAAUCAACUGAGGAAACUCAGCACUGUAAGGAUCCGUUACCACUGCUGUCAAAACACUGGACUGUUUCAUUCUUUUUGGUGCUUAUAAUAAUGACAUGGAAUGAAAUCCUAAUCACAUACAAUGAUGGACUUGUAAUGAGACUACAAUGUAGCUGUUAAACGCCUGCUAAUAAGUAUUGUUUUUCCUGAUUAAGCAAACAUAUGGACAUUUAUGUUAAGACCACUACUGGUUUAGAGUCACAGGCUGACAGACUUAGUGUCACUGAGAGGUUUGCAUUCAUACUUGCAAUUGCAACAUGAGCCAUAGUAUGUUUAUAUAAUACCUUUAUUUGCUGCAGUCUUAUCUGUCCAUGUUGGUUUUGGGUUUUCUCAGGAUCAGUAAAGUGUAGUUUCCCUGGGUUCUCAGCUCUGUAAAAUAUCAGCUCAUUGAAAGUAAAUGGCCUAGCAUAAACAGGACAGUUCUUUUGGCAUCAAGCUGAGGCAUGGAAUUUCUGAUAUCGCAUUCCUCACCCCAGUAAAUCCCAGUUUCUUGACUUGAAAUAAAUUGAUUAUUUUGUUCUGUCCUAAAACAGGUCACAUGGUGUCCUGUCUAAUUAAGAUUCAGUAUGCUCUGAGGUCUCUGGUGGGUGAGGGAGAAGGUUGCAUUUUCAGACAGAAAUAAUCCAUGCAUCAUUGGUUUGUGGAAGAUGACUGGUGUAAUAGACUUAUUGUGUAUCGUCCUGUGGGGAAGCUCCUGUAGGCUUUCAACUUGUGUUCCUCUGAUUGUAUUCCACAGACAGUGAAGGAAAGAGGUGAAUCUGUAGCUGUACUAACAGCAUAUUUCAUUUUAUUUGUUAAUUCUGUAUCGGCUAUUAUAAGACACUGAAGUGAUUUGCGUAGAGUAAGUACCCUGUUAAAGGGUAGCUGAGAAAUUAAGUUUAAGCCCACUGUUUACAAGAGCAUUUCUUUAACCACUAUACUACACUGCUGUCUUUAUUUGAUCAGAAACAUUGCAUUCUUACUUUUGCUAUGUACUGUCUUUAAUUAUAGUGAAAAGACUGAGCCCUGUGACUUAUGUUGGAUUCCAGUGCAGGAAGGUUGGCAGUUUCUUACAGAUUCUAGAUGUUUCUCAGCUGAUGGUCUUAUGAAAAGCUAACCAAAGUGUAACAGAUGUCACAUUCUGUCUUGAUGUAAGCUAGAGGUCACAAAUCUGGUGGAAAGGCCCAAAUUUUUCUUUCAGUGGAGAACGCCAACUGCACUUCAGCUAAACACAUGCAAGCUUGUGGCCAAACGGUGCAGGAACAGGUGCUGAAACCAGCGGCAUCACCUUGGUUUGACAUCUGGCCUUUGAAGAGUCAUGGGAAAUGCAGAGACGGCACACCACAAAAGAUCAGUAAGAUUGCGAUAGGCUGCAGCCCGCUUGUCAGGAUACGUUCUCUUGUUAAUUCACUGGGAAAAAAGGUCAGCAGGUUCCAGAGCAGCCAUCCCUGGGGCCUGCGUGCUCCAGUCAGCUUGGCCAUGGUCCAUUUGAUGUGCCACGAAGGGGAAAAGCCUGACAUGUAAGAGUUGAGUGGUGGAAGCAUUGCGUAAAAAAAGUAAUACAACCUUUGCAUAAGUCAGCAACCUUUAUGCAGUACAUUACAAAAGGUGACUCAAAACAGUUUACGGAUGAAUAAUAGGAAGUGCUGAGGACUGGAAAAUUAUUCUCUGUAUCUGUGAGCAGGUUAAGAACAUCUCAUCUAGAGCUUCAACAGUGCAGGAGUUGAUUCACUUGGCAGAUUUUUUUGUGUCAGUAGCAUUCAAUCCCCAGCCGUAGUUAGAGUGCAGCCUUGUAACAGGAGUCUAGCCCUUUGGAAGGUCCAUGUUAUUAGAUUGCCCCAGGCAAUCAUUGGACGUACCGGUGGGCCAAAUAAAAUCUGCAGUCCACUGCCUUUGCACUUGCACAAUGCUAAUGUGAAGGAGGCAUCUCUGGAAUGCCCCUUGAUGUCCACAUUUUCCUGACAAGAGAUCUGAUUAGCAUGGUAAGCUAAAGACCAAGGUUCCAUGAUGGGGGACGACCUUCAAUAGAGGACAUUGACUAUACUGAGCUCCAUAAUUGCUGUCAGGGCAAAUAAAAUAGUUAUAUAGUUAUACUAGCGGCAGUAACAAACAGACCUAUUUAUUAAUUCCCAGUCAUUGUACAGCUUUGUUAUUUGGAAUCCCCAAUCACUCAUGUAUGAAGUCAGGCAGAGGUGAAUGAAAGUGGCAGUUUGAUAGGGGGCUGUCUUUCUGUGAUUGUCUUUAAAAUCAUCAACCACUGUGCGAGUUUCCCUGUGAACUGUGUUGUUUGUAAAACUCGUGUUAGUCGAAGCGUGCACCAGGAACUGACUUGUGAACCCACAUUGGAAACCGUUGCCUUCACGUCUGCAAGGCAUUGUCAGGACUGUACAUCACCGUGGCGCUUGGCCGAGUUGAUCUGCUGCCAAGCUAAAGCACAGCACAGCACGGCUGCUUUUCACAUCAAACGCACCAGGAAGUGGUCAUGCUCGCCUCUUUUUAGGUGUGUAGCUGUUUGCUUGUUCUCUCUCUGUGUGUCUCUCUCUCUCUCACUAUCACUCGCUCAAGGCCUCUUGCAUGGCAUUGGAAAGCUGUCUGUGUGCAUAGAAAUAUUCCAGUCUGGUUUUAUAUCAGGCCUGUUAUCUUCAGCAAAACCAGGCUACGUUGUAAACUGCCCUGAAGUUGUCGGCGGUGAAGGAAGGGGAGGGGAGAUCAGUGAUAGCCCUUGACAUGACCCUACUUUGUUCACAGUAACAUGUGUUGUGAUAUAAACAAGGGGAAAAUGACCACUCACUAAACUACUUGAUCAUUUUCCGAGUAUGUUUUCCAGUUGAAUUGUCAUCAGAAUUGCAUUUAACCGUUGGUCAAUUUAUCUAUGUGGCAUGUAAAGAAUGUAAGCCACUGGACUGUGUGUGCUCUUGUGUAAAGCAGAGAGAUAAUGGUUAAGGCCGUGCAGAUGAUCGAAAUACAGGUACUGCCACAAACACACACACACACACACACACACACACACACACACACAAACAUAUACACAUAAAAAGCUGUCAGAGACUGUUUACUCAAAUACACCAAUGAAGCACACGCUGCAUGGCCUUCCUCACUGAACUCAAGUCCAAGUUUCUUAUUCUCUUGUUCCCUGAGUUUCCUCAGGAACUUGUUCAGUGUUUCAGCCACUCCUGUUGGGCUGAGAAGAAAAUGGGGUAAUCCCAGCCUCCACAGAUGCAAAUUGUGUUUAUUUGCUAGAACCCCACAAAUAUUUAACCACACAUGGAGAAACUUCAGUAGCAGCCUCGGGAACUCCAUGUUUGCUUGUUACUUGUGAGUUCUUAGCAAUGUCAAUGAACCUCAAACAAAUGGGUUUAGCGCACUUGUGAGCAACAGUUGUCCUCACUGAAUGAGGCCACGGAGUCUGUGUUAAAGGUAGCAGAUGGUUUUCACUGAAGUCUUGUACAGUCCUUAUACCUCUUAAAGGAGUCAAUGAAAGCUGCAUCUCAGUGGUUCCGCUCCAAGUUGUAGUGGAGCUGACUUGAGUUCAGAAUGACUGUUGUAAACUGAUUUUAUUUUCAAUUGUAAAUAACCAAAAUGGUAAAAAGUCUUUGUUAGUGAAACUAUUUUUAUUGUUCCAGAAGGAAAUAAAGAACGAGACUCCUA